GCCCUGGUGGUGUGACGGUUAAAUUUUCAGCUGCUAACUGAAAGGUUGGUGGUUCGAACCUGCCUCGUGGCU
rnacentral:tRNA from 1 species